UUCACUUUUUCCAGGAGAUUCUGCUUUCUGCAGGAGAAGUGGGGUUCGGUUUCAUCAGGGGUGCCACUGCUAGUACCCAGCUAACCCUGACUGCCUCUGAUGAACCAGCGAGCCUGCAGUGGGGCCCUGAGAACAGUCUGAGCAAGUUUCCAACGCUGCUGACACCGCGUCGAAGAGCCACAGCUUAAGAAGCACUGCCUUGGAGGGACCACCCCGUGGGUGAAGGAGAGCACCACAGCCAGCCAGAUUCCCUUAGGGGAGCCCCCCAACCUAGAGGAACGGAGGCGGCAGUCCACUAGAAUACCAAUUUGUGAGUUGCUUCUUUUCACUUUGUAGUGGAGUUUGAAGAACUGCUUUAAAUGUCCCCAUCCUCAUAUGCUCGUCAUUACAGCUCAGUGUACCUGUUACAGCCUGGAAAACAGACAAUUCCAUCACCUUCCCCCUAUAUUAUUUUAGAUUUUCUCUUUUCCUAAAAUGUAGUUGAACAAUUUGCCAGACGUAUUCCAACAGAAAAUAUGCUGCCAGGUAUCCCCCUGCCCCUCCCCAAUCCCCUAAAUCCCUGAUAAAGGAAAAUGAAAAUGUAAACGUUGGAAAGCCUGUACUCAAGGUUUGCUUCUAGAAGUAUGCAAAUGAGGCCCCCUGGCCAGCCAAGCCCUUCUUGCUGGAACCCCUCUGGCCUAGGCUUUGAGGGCAGGUGCCUUGUGGCCCAGGGCAGAGCUUUCCUGGCAUUUCCCCGGCGGCACUGGCUGCCUGAGGGCUAAAAGAACGGAGUGGGAGACCGGCCCUCCAGUACUCUCUAAGGCACUAACCCCGACAUCAGAGACACUGGCUAGAAGGGCGUCCAAGCAGGCAGGGCUCACAUUGGUUUUGG